rnacentral:rRNA from 1 species
UGCCAGCAGCCGCGGUAAUACAGAGGGUGCAAGCGUUAAUCGGAAUUACUGGGCGUAAAGCGCGCGUAGGUGGUUCGUUAAGUUGGAUUGUGAAAGCCCCGGGCUCAACCUGGGAACUGCAUCCAAAACUGGCGAGCUAGAGUACGGUAGAGGGUGGUGGAAUUUCCUGUGUAGCGGUGAAAUGCGUAGAUAUAGGAAGGAACACCAGUGGCGAAGGCGACCACCUGGACUGAUACUGACACUGAGGUGCGAAAGCGUGGGGAGCAAACAGGAUUAGAUACCCCUGGUAGUCCACGCCGUAAACGAUGUCAACUAGCCGUUGGAAUCCUUGAGAUUUUAGCGGCGCAGCUAACGCAUUAAAAGUUGACCGCCUGGGGAGUACGGCCGCAAGGUUAAAACUUAAAUGAAUUGACGGG